rnacentral:rRNA from 1 species
AUUGAACGCUGGCGGCAGGCCUAACACAUGCAAGUCGAACGAGUGGCGGACGGGUGAGUAAUGUCUGGGAAACUGCCUGAUGGAGGGGGAUAACUACUGGAAACGGUGGCUAAUACCGCAUACUAUCGGAUGUGCCCAGAUGGGAUUAGCUAGUAGGUGGGGUAAAGGCUCACCUAGGAGACGAUCCCUAGCUGGUCUGCGAGGCUGAACAGCCACACUGGGACUGAGACACGGCCCAGACUCCUACGGGAGGCAGCAGUGGGGAAUAUUGGACAAUGGGCGAAAGCCUGACCCAGCCAUGCCGCGUGUGUGAAGAAGGUCUUCGGAUUGUAAAGCACUGUUAGUUGGGAGGCGUUACCAACAGAAGAAGCACCGGCUAACUUCGUGCCAGCAGCCGCGGUAAUAC